rnacentral:rRNA from 1 species
AGGAUGAACGCUGGCGGUGUGCCUAAUACAUGCAAGUCGAACGAAGCCUUCGGGCUUAGUGGCGGACGGGUGAGUAACACGUUGGUACCUACCCCGAAGUGGGGAAUAACUGCCCGAAAGGGUGGCUAAUACCGCAUAAUACCGCAAGGUUAAAGCGAGUAAUCGCGCUUCGGGAGGGGCCUGCGUCCCAUUAGCUAGUUGGUAGGGUAAUGGCCUACCAAGGCGACGAUGGGUAGCUGGAUCGAGAGGUUGACCAGCCACACUGGGACUGAGAUACGGCCCAGACUCCUACGGGAGGCAGCAGUAAGGAAUCUUCCACAAUGGACGAAAGUCUGAUGGAGCAACACCGCGUGCAGGAUGACGGCCUUCGGGUUGUAAACUGCUUUUAUAUGGGAAGAUUAUGACGGUACCAUAUGAAUAAGGACCGGCUAACUACGUGCCAGCAGCCGC